rnacentral:rRNA from 1 species
GAUGAACGCUGGCGGCGUGCCUAACACAUGCAAGUCGAACGGGAUGCGUAUCGGAAAGCUUCGGCCGGAAGAUACGUUAUCUAGUGGCGGACGGGUGAGUAACACGUGGGUAACCUGCCUUAUGGAGGGGGAUAACAGAGAGAAAUCACUGCUAAUACCGCAUAAGCACACAGUACCGCAUGGUACAGGGUGAAAAGAUUUAUCACCAUAAGAUGGACCCGCGUCUGAUUAGCCAGUUGGCAGGGUAAAAGCCUACCAAAGCAACGAUCAGUAGCCGAUCUGAGAGGAUGACCGGCCACAUUGGGACUGAGACACGGCCCAAACUCCUACGGGAGGCAGCAGUGGGGAAUAUUGCACAAUGGGGGAAACCCUGAUGCAGCGACGCCGCGUGAGUGAAGAAGUAUUUCGGUAUGUAAAGCUCUAUCAGCAGGGAAGAUAAUGACAGUACCUGACUAAGAAGCCCCGGCUAACUACGUGCCAGCAGCCGCGGUAAUACGUAGGGGGCAAGCGUUAUCCGGAUUUACUGGGUGUAAAGGGAGCGUAGACGGAGUGGCAAGUCUGAAGUGAAAACCCUGGGCUUAACCUGGGGACUGCUUUGGAAACUGUUAAUCUAGAGUGUUGGAGAGGUAAGUGGAAUUCCUGGUGUAGUGGUGAAAUGCGUAGAUAUCAGGAAGAACACCGGAGGCGAAGGCGGCUUACUGGACAAUAACUGACGUUGAGGCUCGAAAGCGUGGGGAUCAAACAGG